rnacentral:rRNA from 1 species
UACGAAGGGGGCUAGCGUUGCUCGGAAUUAUUGGGCGUAAAGAGCUCGUAGGCGGUUUGUUGCGUCGGCUGUGAAAUCCCGAGGCUCAACCUCGGGUCUGCAGUCGAUACGAGCAAACUAGAGUGUUGCAGGGGAGACUGGAAUUCCUGGUGUAGCGGUGAAAUGCGCAGAUAUCAGGAGGAACACCGGUGGCGAAGGCGGGUCUCUGGGCCGAUACUGACGCUGAGGAGCGAAAGCGUGGGGAGCGAACAGG